UACGAAGGGGGCGAGCGUUGUUCGGAUUUACUGGGCGUAAAGGGCGCGCAGGCGGCUCAUUUUGUCAGGCGUGAAAGCCCCGGGCUUAACCUGGGAACUGCGUUUGAUACGGAUGGGCUAGAGUUCGGGAGAGGAGAGUGGAAUUCCCAGUGUAGAGGUGAAAUGCGCAGAUAUCAGGAGGAACACCGGUGGCGAAGGCGGGUCUCUGGGCCGUAACUGACGCUGAGGAGCGAAAGCGUGGGGAGCGAACAGG
rnacentral:rRNA from 1 species